GCCAAGAGGAAUUCCAAAAGCUAAUUGAAAGGUUAUCCCUUUGGAAGAAAUAGUGCAAAGCCAGAAAUCUCAGCUGCAAAACAUACUUAAACACAAGGCUCAAGGCCUUGUUUGAUAGAUGUUAAUCACAUAGAAACAGAAUGGGAUAAUUUCUACAUUUCUACAUGUUUUCAUUUUUUUUUCUUUUCACUUUUAUAGACCAUGUUUUCAAAAGCAUCACCACCUCCUCAAAGUUUUUAGCUUGUGUUGUAGAAAGCAUAUGAGGUUGUUAAUCUUUUCAGCCUUUUGUCAAUUGUAAUCACUUAGUACCCAAACCAUUUCAGGCCCUAGCAAUAGCUUUUCUCAUUGCUAGUUAGCAAGUUUUGGUUACAUUGUGUAUUGAACAUUGCAACAAAACAAAAAAAAACACAUUGUGUAUUGAAGCAAUCUAAUUUAGCUUUUUUUUAAUUAUGGUUAUGCUGUGUUUAUCACAUGUGCAAAAAUUUAUGGGAAAAUGUUAUCAUAAUGGCAAUCAUGUCGAAACCACAAUAUUAUGAUUACAAUUGCAGGUGUAGAAUGCAAUUUAAAACAAUGUUAGUUAGUACACCGUAUAUAAUUUUUACCUUUGAAAUCAUGUCAUGCACAUUUAUUGUGGCUAUUGGUGCUAUUGCACUUCCUUCUGUCGCAGCCUCACUCUCUUUUGCGCCUUAAUAUCAGCAGACAAUGGCAGCUAUGAAUUACGGAAAGGAUGCUUUUAGGUUCAAUCAGAGAAUUAAAUCAAAUAAAAGUUGUUUGUUGCCAUUCAAC
rnacentral:lncRNA from 1 species